AGAUUGAACGCUGGCGGCAGGCCUAACACAUGCAAGUCGAGCGGUAGAGAGGUGCUUGCAUCUCUUGAGAGCGGCGGACGGGUGAGUAAUGCCUAGGAAUCUGCCUAGUGGUGGGGGAUAACGUUCGGAAACGGACGCUAAUACCGCAUACGUCCUACGGGAGAAAGCAGGGGACCUUCGGGCCUUGCGCUAUCAGAUGAGCCUAGGUCGGAUUAGCUAGUUGGUGAGGUAAUGGCUCACCAAGGCGACGAUCCGUAAUGGUCUGAGAGGAUGAUCAGUCACACUGGAACUGAGACACGGUCCAGACUCCACGGGAGCAGCAGGUGGGAAUAGUGGAACAAGUGGGACGAAAGCCUAGAUCCAGCCAUGCCGCGUGUGUAGAAGAAGGUCGUUACGG
rnacentral:rRNA from 1 species